AAUAGAUACCCGGGUAGUCCACGCCGUAAACGAUGAGUGCUAAGUGUUAGAGGGUUUCCGCCCUUUAGUGCUGCAGCUAACGCAUUAAGCACUCCGCCUGGGGAGUACGGCCGCAAGGCUGAAACUCAAAGGAAUUGACGGGGGCCCGCACAAGCGGUGGAGCAUGUGGUUUAAUUCGAAGCAACGCGAAGAACCUUACCAGGUCUUGACAUCCUCUGACAACCCUAGAGAUAGGGCUUUCCCCUUCGGGGGACAGAGUGACAGGUGGUGCAUGGUUGUCGUCAGCUCGUGUCGUGAGAUGUUGGGUUAAGUCCCGCAACGAGCGCAACCCUUGAUCUUAGUUGCCAGCAUUCAGUUGGGCACUCUAAGGUGACUGCCGGUGACAAACCGGAGGAAGGUGGGGAUGACGUCAAAUCAUCAUGCCCCUUAUGACCUGGGCUACACACGUGCUACAAUGGAUGGUACAAAGGGCUGCAAACCUGCGAAGGUAAGCGAAUCCAUAAAGCCAUUCUCAGUUCGGAUUGCAGG
rnacentral:rRNA from 1 species